rnacentral:lncRNA from 1 species
GGGCUCAGCCUCUGCCCCUGUCCCGGGCCGUGUCCCUCCCACACGGCUCAUCCGCUUCCCUGGGAGACAUGCAGUCACGGCCUGUGGGGCAGGACAAGGGGGUCAUAGAAAGCGAGGGUGGGAAGGGACUUCAAGCGGUCACAUCUCAUCCAACCCCUACUCAAAGCAGGACCAGCCCUAACUAGGUCAUCCCAGCCAAGGCUUUGUCUAGCCAGGUUUUGAAAACCUCCAAGGAUGGGGUGUCAGCCACUUUCUGGGUAGCCUGUUCCACUGUUUUACUACCCUCCUAGUGAAAAAAUUAUUCCUAAUAUCUAACCUAAACUUCCCUUGCUGCAAUUUGAGAUGGUUGCUCCUUGUUCUGUCACCUGCCAGCAUGGAGAACAGUCCGGCUCCAUCCUCUAUGGAACUGCACAUCGGGGAGAAUGCAAGUUUGUAAACUACCUGGGCGUGAUGUCAGCCUUGCCUACUUGGCCUUUUGCAUGUUGCGAGGAAGUUCAUUUAACCUGAAGAUAAAUUAUAGUAUUGGUGAUCAAAGCAAGAACACACAGGUAGAGUGGCCACUAACACAUCCCCAAAAUACAGGACAUCCCCUUGGUAAGGUGUGGGACCACCGGCCCUCUCAACCAAUCAGUGAUGAGGGACAGGGCUGCCAUGUCCUUGG